AGAGUUUGAUUAUGGCUCAGAACGAACGCUGGCGGCGUGCCUAACACAUGCAAGUCGAACGGAACCAGGGGGCUUGCUCCUUGGUUUAGUGGCGCACGGGUGAGUAACGCGUGGAUAAUCUGCCCUGGUAUCCGGGAUAACAUUUCGAAAGGAGUGCUAAUACCGGAUAAGCCCACGGGGUCUUCGGACCUUGCGGGAAAAGGUGGCCUCUGAAUAUGCUACUGUAUCAGGAUGAGUCCGCGUCCCAUUAGCUAGUUGGCGGGGUAACGGCCCACCAAGGCGACGAUGGGUAGCUGGUCUGAGAGGAUGAUCAGCCACACUGGAACUGAGACACGGUCCAGACUCCUACGGGAGGCAGCAGUGGGGAAUUUUGCGCAAUGGGGGAAACCCUGACGCAGCAACGCCGCGUGAGUGAUGAAGGCCUUCGGGUCGUAAAGCUCUGUCAGAGGGAAAGAAGUGUGUGGUGGCUAAUACCUGCUACACUUGACGGUACCCUCAAAGGAAGCACCGGCUAACUCCGUGCCAGCAGCCGCGGUAAUACGGAGGGUGCGAGCGUUGUUCGGAAUUAUUGGGCGUAAAGCGCGUGUAGGCGGUUUUUUAAGUCUGAUGUGAAAGC
rnacentral:rRNA from 1 species